GAUGAACGCUGGCGGCGUGCUUAAUACAUGCAAGUCGAACGGAUAUUGUAGCGAUACGAUGUUAGUGGCGAACGGGUGAGUAACGCGUAUGUAACCUACCCUGUACAGGGGGAUAACCCGGAGAAAUUCGGACUAAUAUCCCAUGGAAAUAUUGGAAGGCAUCUUUUGAUAUUUAAAGUUCCGGCGGUACGGGAUGGGCAUGCGUAACAUUAGCUAGUUGGUAAGGUAACGGCUUACCAAGGCUUUGAUGUUUAGGGGUCCUGAGAGGGUGGUCCCCCACACUGGUACUGAGACACGGACCAGACUCCUACGGGAGGCAG
rnacentral:rRNA from 1 species